UCCUUUACCAAACGUGGAAUCCCUGGUAGAAAGGUUGCCAAGUGUUAACUCUCAUCAGUAUUACCUGAUCGCUUUCAAAAGAUCGUUACCAACUUUCAUUGCAGUCAGAAGGACAAUGAACCACCAACAGGAAAUGGAAAUAAUCAGCUGGAAGGACCCCACCCUGCCUGGCACUACAGCUUGUCCUAGAAGCUUUUCAAUUUGGGUGUAUGAGUGUUGGGUAUUUUGUCCCUGCAACAAGGAAAGUGACUAGGAUGCUUCUUACUGGGAGUGUGUGCUCAGCUUCCUGAUCAGACUGCUGACACUUCCUGCUGAAGCUUUGGAGCACUGCUUGCUGCUUCUUCCAGGCAGGAGAUAAAAAGCCAGCUCCCCAUGCAGGCCUGCCCAAGCCAUCCACAGGGGCACUGGAGAGCUGCCUGUCACUUCCUCGGGAUGGAGUGCUGGGACCAAACCUAGGGCUUUGGCCAUUCACCACAUGCUUACUACUGAGCUGCACUCCAGGCUGGCCCUUCCUUUUGUUUAAAAAAAAUUCAUUUAUUUACUUUUGCUGUUGUUGAUUUUCUUUUGAGACAGGGUCUUGUUGCGUAGUUCAGGCUGGCCUUGAAUUCAAUUUGAUUCUCCUGCCUCAGCCUCCUGAUGUGUGCCACCACACCCAGGCUUUUUUUUAUAAAAUUAAAAUUUACUUACAUGUUACUCCCAGACAAUCAGGGAGAUACAAAGCAAAGUCUAAAAAACUGGAAAUUAAAGAUUCUCCAGAUUGAAGAAUGUGGGAAUAAGAAUAAGACACUGGAGUGUGUGUGUGUGUGAGCUUUUGUUGUUGUUGUAUAGUGAAAAUGUAACCAUAGAAAAAUAAUUUGCCAGUUGAUCUGCAAAUGGAAUCCCUCAACCCCCUUUUUUUUUGGUUUGUUGUCCCUAUGUAGUUCAGGCUGGCCUCAAACUAAGGACAGUCCUCCUGCUUCAGCCUCCCAAGUCCCAUCACACCUGUCUCUCCUCCUCAUUUCUAAAAAUCCUUUUCUGAGAAUUCAACAUUCAAACUGACAGCA